CUUCACCCCACAUUGUCUGGAACUGUAAUAGUGGAAUUGUUGCCUUCCUAAAACCCUCCAUUUUCCACAGGCUCAUCCUGUCAUUACUCUGCUUGAUUAUGCCAUUUUUGUCUAAUUAUUAUACUCCUCUUAUUGUCAUUACAUUAACAUUUAUAAAGAUUUUUCCCUUUUUCUUUUAAAAAUUUCUGUUAGUUCUUACAAUAUUUGAAGCCCUGAGCAGUCCAAAAUAGGAACCAAAUAGCAGCAAUCAAUUGGGGUUUAUGCAUUUUCCUUUCAUGGAAUUUCCUUAUCCCUCUAAAAUGGAAAGCAAAAUCAAUUGAUAGCUAUAUCUCUUCAAUGUAACCCCCAUCAUCUACACUCACAUUUCCCUUUUCUUAACAAUCACUUGCUUAUUUUUAUGCACUCAUUCAGUGAAAAAGAAACUUGGGAAAUGUUGUUUGGAAAAAUCAUGUGAAUGUCCAGAAAAGUACAAAUGCGGAGGAUCUUGAGAGAAGGACACAGGAGGAGCCCUCGAAUAUCUGCUUUAGAUGCGAGGAAGGCUCAGCCAUCGAGGUCUCCUGUUGCUCGAACUAGGUGUAGUACCAUUACUGUUACUAGUACUAGCACUAGUUUACACGUAGAGCGUGAGCAAAAGAAACGCCGUUGUUGGGGUAAUGGUGAGGGGCCAUCCUCCCGGACCAAGGCCACGAAGAAGAGGAAGCUCAGACCUCUUCAAGAUGUGGCUGCUUCUCCUCCAAGUGCCCAACAGGUUUUGCUUUAAUUAAUUGUCAUGUAAUCCUUUUUUUUUUUUAAGUUUUAUCAUAAUUAGUUUCACUAAUUUCAGUCGUUUCUCUGAAAUAAAUUUACCCAUGUGAAAAUUUUGUGCUCUUUUCCUGUUCAUGGCAAUGAUUGAGUUGGUCAUGCCCAGCGUACUUUCAUCUGGGAUCUUGGUUGUUGAGGGGUUUAAAGAGGGCUUUUAAAGUAGAAAAAGGUGAUUCUUGAGCGGCAUUUUAAUAUUCCUGGGAGACAUCAGUAGACCAGGCAACUGGACACCACCCCGCAGUUUGACUCAAGAACAUACUUUUGUUUUAUUUGCUCAUGUUAUUAUAUUUAUGGCUUCUUUUGGUGUGUGGUUUUGAUUUCAAGGUAUUAUGCCUCUUCUCAGCAUCUUUAUUUUUCCUUAAUUUUUUCAAAUUUUAUUGCUGCUAGUUCCUCGAGACUUGCAAGGUGUUUAGUUGUAUUAAUCUACAUAAUCAGGUUCAAUAAGCCUUCUGCUUCUCCAUAAUUUUAAGGAAUUCAGUGUUUUAUUUUUUUUUUCCAAAAUAUUUUGAUUAAGGCAUUGUUUUCAAUGAUAAGAACGUACUAACAUUGACUCAAGGAACACAAUUUCACUGUGUGUAAACUUGUUCCUAGUGGUAAUUAGUACUUCUUCAUGAUGUUGUUCAAUUUGCUUUUGGUCUUUAUUAUUUUCUGUGAGUUUGGUUUCAGGAUCACAAGUCCAGUGAUGAACAGAAUGGGGGACAAACAAGUCAUGAAGAUCUUCUAAGAAAUAAUGGUCUGCCUUUUGCUCCCUCCAAGAUGUAACUAUAAAUCGCCUAAAUCGCCUUCUUUAAAAUUUCACUUAAAUUGGCAUGAUUCUUCGUGUCUUAUUGGACCAGAUCAACUCAUUUUGCAAUGUAAAGGUAGCAUAAAAAAUGGAGGUCAAGUUACCAAGCCAGGUUACUUCAGUUUCUGUGUUGAAAGUUGAAACUAUGAAUCUUGGAUCUGCAGUUUUUUACAUUUGUGACUUUAGCUUCACUUAUAUCAGGUCAAUCACUUUCUGCGCCGUUUGUGUUGCGGAUGCCAAAAAAACGCAUACUUGAGCUUAUUCUUGACAUAUUACAGAGGUGGUUAUUCUUUCAAAACUGUUUUUAUUUUAAAUAAUGCGGAAGUGCUGUAAGCAUAUACUAAUUGAGAAACAUUUAUCUCAGUGAUUUUUUACGAUCUUCUUUGCUUGUGUUAUUUUAUUAUUUUUAUAUUUUAGGAGAGAUACUUAUGAAAUAUUUGCAGAACCAGUUGACCCAAAUGAGGUAGAACAUUACUAUGAAAUCAUCAAAGAGCCUAUGGAUUUUGGGACCAUGAGAGCUAAACUUCAUGAAGGAAUGUAUAAUAGCCUUGAACAAUUUGAGCAUGAUGUGUUUCUAAUACCUAGAAAUGCAAUGCAAUUUAAUUCCUCAGGUACAAUUUUUUUCAGACAGGUAUGAUCAUCAAAUCUUUGCUAAAAUUCUGAAGCAGUAUUCUUACAAUUUUCUGCCAAGAUAGUUUACUUUUCCUGUGAGUGGAAUGUAUAAUCAUUGUUGCUACAGGCUCGUGCCAUUGAUGAACUAGCUAAGAAGGUUUUUUAUGUUCUUAAAACUGAUCCUGAAAAUUUUGAAUUGGAAUUUUCGGGAACAAGACGGCGACGAAUGAGCAGAAGAGCCAAAGAUGAAGCUAAGCGUUCAAAUUAUAGCUCAACUUCUAAACUUGCCUUGAAUUCAAGAUCCAAUAGUAUGGCACUCAGUGUGUCAGGAAAACCUAUGCUCAGUUCAGCAAACAGUACAGUGAAUUUAAGGCCAGCAAUGCAAGUAAUCCCUUGGUGCUCUGCCAGUGGUAUUACUGCUCAAUCAGACACAAGAGAUGUUGGAGUGCCUUUUGGAGGUGGAGAUGGUAGUGGAUCCAGUUUUUCAGAAGCAAAUAGGCGUUGUACAUAUAAGCCUCAGUUGUCAAUCCUUAAUGAGAAUCAUUCAAUUGUUUCAACCAUUUACAGUAAUUGCAAAGUACUAAUGCAUGUGAAUCAGCAGGAUAUCGGUUAUUGCAAAAGCUUAAUGUUGUUUGUUAAAGAUUUAGGGCCAAAAGUUAAAAUGAUUGCGCAACGCAAGUUAAAUGGAUGGCCAACUGAAUCUAACAAUUAUCUGUAUUCAGCUUCAAAUUUGCCUAAGACUCCAAACUGCAAGAAUCAUGUGACCACCAGCUUUGCCCAGUGGAUAUCCACUUCUAUGGAUACUUCAAUAACCAUUCAAAAUUCUCAAAAUUUAAGCAGUGGUGACAGAAUUGACAUGUGCGAUGCUUAUAGAAGGGAGAGAUCUUCUGGUAACAAAAUGGGAAUCGGUGAUGCUUCAAUGGAAAUGGCAUCACAGGUUCAUGAUAGUACCAUUGGAGCCGUUGGACUCGAGGCUCUGAACAGCAAUGAUACAGAGGUCGUAGGUAUUUCUAAGAGUGACAAUUUUCAACAGAAUCAGAAUGGUAGGAUUCAAAAUGGUCUGCAUUCAUCCAUUGCUAAUCCAAGAGAUCUGCAUCCUUUAUUUGCUGGGUUAAACAACAAGGACAAGAAGUCGACAAAAUUGAAACCAGAGAAAAACAAGAUGGAUAAUAAAUCGCAAUCAUGGCAUUCAGCUUGCAAGGUUUCUCAGUCAAAUGUUUUGGAAUGCAGGUUAAGUGACAGUUACAGCUUUUCAUCAUCUUCCUGGCCCUUAGAGACCCUGGCCUCAGGUACAUCAGGUUUUGAUCAAACUGUCGGCUCCAUGAAUAAUCUCAGUUCACAGUAUCUGAAAGGUUAUAACCAAGCUGUAGCAGCUCAAGUUGCAACUCAUGAACUGGGUUGUUCAACUGGGACGGAUUGGUCAUUGAAAUCAAGCCAGGCCUCAACAACACCAAUUUCCCAGUUCAUUUUCAAUCUACCAUUCCUGAGGACAAGACUUGAUCAAAUGAAUCCAUUGGGACAGAAGAGAUUUCUGCAAGAGAGCUCAGGUGGCCAGGGGCAUAUUGUGAGCGAGACUUACCACGAUAACGCUCCACAUUCGUCAUUAGAUACGCUUACAAGCUUGGCUCUUCAGCUGUAAGAAAUGAAUGACACGUAUAUCGUCAAGAAAGUACCCUUCUAAAACUUGCAAAUAUACUUGUAAAUCUCGUGGUCUGAAGGUUCCAUUUGGUUGCAGGAAAUCCUGAAUUUUUCUUUUUUUGGUACAUCUGAUUUUGAUCAAAACUCGAACUUUUAAAUCUCACAGCUUUAAACAUCACGCCAACACUUACUAGGCUAAGUUCUUUGGUUAUAGAUUAAAGUAAGCAAAAUCUGAAUGUAAUGGGAUUAUUUGACGGGUUUAGCUCAAGCAGAAAUAAAU
rnacentral:misc_RNA from 1 species